ACGAGUCAGAACGGCGGAUGUCAGCAUCUGUGUCUGGCCCGGCCCGGAGGGAGGACGUGCGCUUGUCGGAGCAGCUGGAGACUCCAGGAUGACGGCGUCACGUGUCAGCCGUUGGUUAUUGUGCCACCGAGUGUCGUCUGGACCCGACGGGACCAAGUCACGGGCAUCAACAUCGUGGAAAUGUUGCCUGGAAACACCACAACAAUCCGGGAGGGCUUAGGAUCCGGAGGCUCUUUAACAGUCAAGAAUCUCUUCAGUGUCAAUCCGCCAUCUUUCUUGACUGCGCUGGAUUUUGACAUCCGAAGGCAACAGAUGUUCUGGGCUGACUCCGGACUGCAAGCUAUACACAAG